rnacentral:RNase_P_RNA from 1 species
UGAGUCGGUCGGGUGACCGCGGCCUCGCUGUACGAGGAAACUCGAAUAGACGAUGUCGAGGAAGGUCGGGGCUCCACAGGUCAGAGUGCUGGCUAACGGCCAGUCGGGGCGACCCGCAGGAAAGUGCCACAGAGAACAAACCGCCGAUGGGCCGAGCAAUCGGCCACAGGUAAGGGUGAAACGGUGCGGUAAGAGCGCACCAGCACCCAGGGUGACCUGGGUGGCUCGGCAAACCCCACUCGGAGCAAGGUCAAGACGGGGAGACGGGUGAACCGCCUCCGACCCUCGGGUCGGUAUCUCCGGGUAGACCGCACAGAUGGAUGGUCACCGAACGGGACCCUGGUAACAGACCCGGGAACAGAACCCCGCCUACAGACCGUCUCACCCA